CCUACGGGUGGCAGCAGUGAGGAAUAUUGGUCAAUGGGCGCGAGCCUGAACCAGCCAAGUAGCGUGAAGGAUGACUGCCCUACGGGUUGUAAACUUCUUUUAUAAAGGAAUAAAGUGAGGCACGUGUGCCUUUUUGUAUGUACUUUAUGAAUAAGGACCGGCUAAUUCCGUGCCAGCAGCCGCGGUAAUACGGAGGAUCCGAGCGUUAUCCGGCUUUAUUGGGUUUAAAGGGAGCGUAGAUUGGUUGUUAAGUCAAUUGGGAAAGUUUGCGGCUCAACCGUAAAAUUGCAAUUGAUACUGGCAGCCUUGAGUACGUUUGAGGUAGGCGGAAUUCGUGGUGUAGCGGUGAAAUGCUUAGAUAUCACGAAGAACUCCGAUUGCGAAGGCAGCUUACUAAACUGCCACUGACAUUGAUGCUCGAAGGUGUGGGUAUCAAACAGGAUUAGAUACCCCAGUAGUC
rnacentral:rRNA from 1 species